UAAGGAAUAUUGGUCAAUGGAUGCAAGUCUGAACCAGCCAUGCCGCGUGGAGGAUGAAGGCCCUCUGGGUUGUAAACUUCUUUUACAGGGGAAGAAAUCUGGAAAUUCUUUUUCAGUUGACGGUACCCUGAGAAUAAGCACCGGCUAACUCCGUUCCAGCAGCCGCGGUAAUACGGAGGGUGCAAGCGUUAUCCGGAUUCACUGGGUUUAAAGGGUGCGUAGGAGGGCAGGUAAGUCAGUGGUGAAAUCUCCGGGCUUAACUCGGAAACUGCCGUUGAUACUAUCUGUCUUGAAUCUUGUGGAGGUGAGCGGAAUAUGUCAUGUAGCGGUGAAAUGCUUAGAUAUGACAUAGAACACCAAUUGCGAAGGCAGCUCACUACACAAACAUUGACUCUGAGGCACGAAAGCGUGGGUAGCGAAC
rnacentral:rRNA from 1 species